UUUUUUUUUUUUUUUAUUGGUGUUCAAUUUACUAACAUACAGAAUAACACCCAGUGCCCGUCACCCAUUCACUCCCACCCCCCGCCCCCCUCCCCCCCCUUCUACCACCAACCCAGUGGUCGUUUCCCAGAGUUAGCAGUCUUUAUGUUCUGUCUCCCUUUCUGAUAUUUCCCACACAUUUCUUUCUCCCUCAACUUCCCUUAUUUUCCCCUUUUCACUAUUAUUUAUAUCCCCAAAUGAAUGAGAACAUAUAAUGUGUUGGCCUUCUCUGACUGACGGACUUCACUCAGCAUAAUACCCGCCAGUUCCAUCCACGUUGAAGCAAAUGGUGGGGGGUAUUUGUCAUUUCUAAUAGCUGAGUAAUAUUCCAUUGUAUACAUAAACCACAAUCUUCUUUAUCCAUUCAUCUUUCGUUGGACACCGAGGGCGCCGUCCACAGUUUGGGCUAUCGUGGCCAUUGCUGCUAGAAACAUCGGGGGGUAGGUGUCCCAGCGUUUCAUUGCAUUUGUAUCUUUGGGGUAAUCCCCAACAGUGCAAUUGCUGGGGUCGUAGGGCAGGUCUAUUUUUUAAACUGUUUGAGGAACCUCCACACAGUUUUCCACAGUGGCUGCACCAGUUCACAUUCCCACCAACAGUGUAGGAGGGUUCCCUUUUCCUCCCUCCAUCCUCGUCCAACAUUUGUUGUUUCCUGCCUUGUUAAUUUUUCCCAUUCUCACCCCAUUCUCACUGGUGUGCGGUGGUAUCUCAUUGUGGUUUUGAUUUGUAUUUCCCUGAUGGCAAGUGAUGCAGAGCAUUUUCUCAUGUGCAUGUUGGCCAUGUCUAUGUCUUCUUCUGUGAGAUUUCUGUUCAUGUCUUUUGCCCCAUUUCAUGAUUGGAUUGUUUGUUUCUUUGGUGUUGAGUUUAAAAAGUUCUUUAUAGAUCUUGGAAACUAGCCCUUUAUCUGAUAUGUCAUUUGCAAAUAUCUUCUCCCAUUCUGUAGGUUGUCUUUUGAGUUUUGUUGACUGUAUCCUUUGCUUGUGCAAAAGCUUCUUAUCUUGAUGAAGUCCCAAUAGUUCAUUUUUUGCUUUUUGUUUCUUUUGCCCUUCGUGGAUGUAUCUUGCAAGAAGUUACUAUGGCCGAGUUCACAAAGGGUGUUGCCUGUGUUUCUUCUCUAGGAUUUUGAUGGAAUCUUGUCUCACAUUAGAUCUUUCAUCCAUUUUGAGUUUAUCUUUUGUGUAUGGUGAAACGAGAGAGUGGUCUAGUUUCAUUUCUUCUGCAUGUGGAUGUCCAAUUUUCCCCAGCACCAUUUAUUGAAGAGACUGUCUUUCUCUUCCAAUGGAUAGUCCUUUCCCCUCCUCCUUAUCGAAUAUUAGUUUGCCCAUAAAGUUCAGGGUCCACUUCUGGAUUUCUCUAUUCUGUUCCACUGAUCUAUGCGUCUGUUUUUUGUGCCAGUACCACACUGUCUUGAUGACCACAGCUUUGUAGUACAACCUGAAAUCUGGCAUUGUGAUGCCCCCAGAUAUGGUUUUCUUUUUUUAAAAUUCCCCUGGCUAUUCGGGGUCUUUUCUGAUUCCACACAAAUCUUAAAAUAAUUUGUUUUCUAACUCUCUGAAGAAAGUCCCCAUGGUAUUUGAUAGGGAUUGCAUUAAAAACGUGUAUAUUGCCCUGGGUAAACAUUGACACAUUUUCACAAUAUUAAUUCUGCCAAUCCAUGAGCAUGGAAUAUUUUUCCAUCUCUUUGUGUCUUCCCCCUCAAUUUCUUUCAGAAGUGUUCUAUAGUUUUUGAGGGUAUAGAUCCUUUACAUCUUUGGUGAGGUUUAUUCCUAGGUAUCUUAUGCUUUUGGGUGCAAUUGUAAAUGGGAUUGACUCCUUAAUUUCUCUUUCCUUUCAGUCUCAUUGUUAGUGUAUAGAAAUGCCACUGACUUCUGGGCAUUGAUUUUUGUAUCCUGCCACGCUACCGAAUUGCUGUAUGAGUUCUAGCAAUCUUGGGGGUGGAGACUUUUGGGUUUUCUAUGUAGAGUAUCAUGUCAUCGGCGAAGAGGGAGAGUUUGACUUCUUCUUUGCCAAUUUGAAUGCCUUUAAUGUCUUUUUGUUGUCUGAUUGCUGAGGCUAGGACUUCCAGUACUAUAUGUUGAAUAGCAGUGGGUGAGAGUGGACAUCCCUGUCUUGUUCCUGAUCUUAGGGGAAAGGCUCCCAGUGCUUCCCCAUUGAGAAUGAUAUUUGCUGUGGGCUUUUCAUAGAUGGCUUUUAAGAUGUCGAGGAAUGUUCCCUCUAUCCCUACACUCUGAAGAGUUUUUGAUCAGGAAUGGAUGCUGUAUUUUGUCAAAUGCUUUCUCUGCAUCUAUUGAGAGGAUCAUAUGGUUCUUGGUUUUUCUCUUGCUGAUAUGAUGAAUCACAUUGAUUGUUUUUACGGGUGUUGAACCAGCCUUGUGUCCCAGGGAUAAAUCCUACUUGGUCAUGGUGAAUAAUUUUUCUUAAUGUACUGUUGGAUCCUAUUGGCCAGUAUCUUGUUGAGAAUUUUUGCAUCCAUGUUUCAUCAGGGAUAUUGGUCUGUAAUUCUCCUUUUUGGGCGGGGUCUUUGUCUGGCUUUUGGAAUUAAGGUGAUGCUGGCUUCAUAGAACGAAUUUGGAAGUACUCCAUCUCUUUCUAUCUUUCCAAACAGCUUUAGGAGAAUAGGUAUGAUUUCUUCUUUAAAACGUUUGAUAAAAUUCUCCUGGGAAGCCAUCUGGCCCUGGACUCUUGUGUCUUGGGAGGUUUUUGAUGACUGCUUCAAUUUCCUCCCUGGUUAUUGGCCUGUUCAGGUUUUCUAUUUCUUCCUGUUCCAGUUUUGGUAGUUUGUGGCUUUCCAGGAAUGCGUCCAUUUCUUCUAGAUUGCCUAAUUUAUUGGCGUAGAGCUGUUUCAUAAUAUGUUUUUAAAAUCGUUUGUAUUUCCUUGGUGUUGGUAGUGAUCUCUCCUUUCUCAUUCAUGAUUUUAUUAAUUUGAGUCUUCUCUCUCUUCUUUUUAAUAAGGCUGGCUAAUGGUUUAUCUAUCUUAUUAAUUCUUUCAAAGAACCAACUCCUGGUUCUGUUGAUCUGUUUCCACAGUUCUUCUGGUCUCGAUUUUCGUUGAGUUCUGCUCGAAUCUUUAUUAGCUCCCUUCUUCUCUUGGGUGUAGGAUCUAUUUGCUGUUUUUUUCUCUAGCUCCUUUAUGUGUAAGGUUAGCUUUUGUAUUUGAGUUCUUUCCAGUUUUUGAAUGGAUGCUUGUAUUGCGAUGUAUUUCCCCCUUAGGACUGCUUUUGCUGCAUCCCAAAGAUUUUGAACGGUUUGUAUCUUCAUUCUCAUUAGUUUUUUUCCAUGAAUCUUUUUAAUUUCUUCCUUAAUUUCCUGGUUGACCCCUUUUAUCUUUUAGCAGGAUGGUCCUUAACCUCCAUGUGUUUGAGGUCCUUCCAAACUUCUUGUUGUGAUUUAGUUCUAAUUUCAAGGCAUUAUGGUCCGAGAAUAUGCAGGGGGACAAUCCCAAUCUUUUGGUAUCGGUUCAGACCCGAUUUGUGACCCAAUAUGUGGUCUAUUCUGGAGAAAGUUCCAUGUGCGCUUGAGAAGAAUGUGUAUUCAGUUGAGUUUGGAUGUAAAGUUCUGUAGAUAUCUGUGAAAUCCAUCUGGUCCAGUGUAUCAUUUAAAGCUCUCGUUUCUUUGGAGAUGUUUUGCUUAGAAGACCUAUCAAGUAUAGAAAGAGCUAGAUUGAAGUCACCAAGUAUAAGUGUAUUAUUAUCUAAGUAUUUCUUCACUUUGGUUAAUAAUUGAUUUAUAUAUUUGGCAGCUCCCACAUUCGGAGCAUAUAUAUUGAGGAUUGUUAAGUCCUCUUGUUGAAUAGAUCCUUUAAGUAUGAUAUAGUGUCCCUCUUCAUCUCUCACUACAGUCUUUGGGGUAAAUUUUAGUUUAUCUGAUAUAAGGAUGGCUACCCCUGCUUUCUUUUGAGGACCAUUCGAAUGGUAAAUGGUUCUCCAACCUUUUAUUUUCAGGCUGUAGGUGUCCUUCUGUCUAAAAUGAGUCUCUUGUAGACAGCAAAUAGAUGGGGUCCUGCUUUUUUAUCCAGUCUGAAACCCUGCGCCUUUUGAUGGGGCAUUAAGCCCGUUCACAUUCAGAGUUACUAUUGAGAGAUAUGAGUUUUGUGUCAUCAUGAUAUCUAUUCAGUCUUUGUUUUUGUGGACUGUUCCACUGAACUUCUUCUUAAAGGGGAAUUUUAAGAGGCCCCCUUAAAAUUUCUUGCAGAGCUGGUUUGGAGGUCACAUAUUCUUUUAGUUGCUGCCUGUCUUGGAAGCUCUUUAUCUCUCCCUUCCAUUUUGAAUGAGAGCCUUGCUGGAUAAAGUAUUCUUGGUUGCAUGUUCUUUUCAUUUAGGACCCUGAAUAUAUCCUGCCAGCCCUUUCUGGCCUGCCAGGUCUCUGUGGAGAGGUCUGCUGUUACCCUAAUACUCCUCCCCAUAAAAGUCAGGGAUUUCUUGUCUCUUGCUGCUUUAAGGAUCUUCUCCUUAUCUUUGGAAUUUGCAAGCUUCACAAUUAAAUGUCGAGGUGUUGAACGGUUUUUAUGUAUUGAUUUUAGGGGGGGAUCUCUCUAUUUCCUGGAUCUGAAUGCCUGUUUCCCUUCCCAGAUUAGGAAAGUUUUUCAGCUAGAAUUUGUUUCAAAUACAUAUUCUGGCCCUCUGUCCCUUUCGGCGCCCUCGGGAACCCCAAUUAAACGUAGGUUUUUCUUCCUCAGGCUGUCGUUUAUUUCCCUUAAUCUAUCUUCAUGGUCUUUUAAUUGUUUGUCUCUUUUUUCUCCUCAGUUUUCCCUCUUUGCUGUCAACUUGUCUUCUAGGUCACUCACGUCGUUCUUCCACCUCGUUAACCCCUCGUCGUUAGGACUUCUAGUUUGGAUUGCAAUCUCAUUCAAUUGGUUUUUUUUAAUUUCUGCCUGAUUAGCUCUAAUUCUGCAGUCAUGAAGUCUCUUGAGUCCUUUAUACUUUUUUCUAGAGCCACCAGUAGCUGUAUAAUAGUGCUUCUGAAUUGGCUUUCUGACAUUGAAUUGUAAUCCAGAUUUUGUAACUCUGUGGGAGAGAGGACUGUUUCUGAUUCUUUCUUUUGAGGUGAGGUUUUCCUUCUAGUCAUUUUGCUCAGUGCAGAGUGGCCAAAAGCAAGUUGUAUUGGAAAAAGAGAAAAAGAGAGGAGAGAAAGAAGGAAAGAAAAGAGAAAGAGAAAAAAAAAAAGGGAAGAAAAAAAAAAAAAAAAAAAAAAAAAAAAAAAAAAAAAAA
rnacentral:lncRNA from 1 species